AUGUAUGAUGGUUCUGCAGUGGCAUGCUAUGAUCAAUUGCGUUUAACUAAACGAAACUUUCAUGACCUUUGCACCAUGUUAAGGGAGAGAUGUGGCCUUUGUGAUAGUGUAUAUGUGAUAGUGGAAGAGAAAGUUGCAAUGUUUUUGCUUGUAGUUGGUCAUAGUAUUAAGAUGAGGAUGUUGCGUGGCACCUACAAGCGUUCUUUAUGGACCAUUAGCACACACUUCUCGGCUGUGAACGCCCUACUCUCUCUACAUGAGGAGUUCAUUAAGCUACCUUCCUCUACCGCUCAAGCUCCUGAUGAUUACAAAUGGAAAUGGUUUGGUAAUGCACUUGGAGCACUAGAUGGUUGUCAUAUUGAUGUGCUUGUUGAUGUGGCUGACCAAGGAAGGUAUAGGAACAGAAAGCAAGCCAUUACCACUAACAUGCUAGGUGCUGUUGAUUGGAACAUGAAGUUUCUUUAUGUGUUACCUGGCUGGGAGGGUUCAGUUUCAGAUUCGAGAGUCUUGCGUGAUGCAAUGAGGGCGAACCGCCAUGAUUCGUUUGUUGUGCCUAAGGGGAAAUAUUAUUUAGUUGAUGCUGGUUAUACCAAUGGAGAAGGAUUUCUAGCUCCAUUCAGGUCCACUCGGUAUCAUCUAAAAGAAUGGGCUGCAAGUGCACAACAGCCCCAAACAGCUAAAGAGUUAUAUAAUUUGCGUCAGUCUCGUGCUAGGAAUGUAGUGGAGCAAACAUUUGGCUUGUUCAAGAAAAAAUGGGCUAUCUUGCGUUCCCAAACCUUCUUUGACAUAAAGGAUCAGAUUCGAAUUAUUAGUGCUUGUUGUGUGUUGCACAACUAUGCAAGGGAUAGACAACAUGUCAUGGAUGAUUUGUUAUUGGCUGAAGUGGAUAGUGAAUUAGCAAAUGCGCCAAAUGAUGAUCCAGAUGAUGACAACUUCAUUAGAAGUGUGCAAGUCACUACUGAAUCGUCCAACUUUAGGCAACAACUAGCUGAUGAUAUGUUUGCCGAGUACCUUGUGGCGCAAGGAGAACAAGAGAUC
rnacentral:rRNA from 1 species